rnacentral:lncRNA from 1 species
GGCUGGCUUGCAGAAAGAAAGGAAAUGUCACCAGAACCAGGACAAUGACCUGGAUCUCAGCAAUGCAAAGUGACAACCAAAAGGUUACUCUCAUUAUUCCCCUCCUUUUCUUUCUGUUUGCAGGCUUCAUCUUCUUGGACUUCUCCACAGGGCCAGGAUCAUGAUCCAGAAGGACAGCCUCAUUUCAGCCAGUUCCUGCCAACCAGUCCUGGAGUGAUUUGGAAAUACAUUGUUGUUUGGACCUAACAGGCAGACUCACGAGAACAAGAACACGGUCUGGAAGUAUGUUCCUGAUGCUGGAAUAGAGAGGAUUUCUGAUAACCUGGAAUAUUUGCAAGAGCUCAGCAACACUCCAGGAAUUUGUGAAUCCUUCCAUGUGUCGGUGUGCUUAAGAUUCCUUUUCACAAAAGAUGAACCUCAAGCAACUUAUAAGCCCAUGAACAUGGACAAGAAAUGGGAAUUUGGAUUAACACCUCUGAUGGAGUCACACCAGCAAUUGGCAAGGUA